CUGUGAGGCAUGCUGGAGGUAUCAGAAGUGCGAAUGCUGACAUAAGUAACGAUAAAGCGGGUGAAAAGCCCGCUCGCCGGAAGACCAAGGGUUCCUGUCCAACGUUAAUCGGGGCAGGGUGAGUCGACCCCUAAGGCGAGGCCGAAAGGCGUAGUCGAUGGGAAACAGGUUAAUAUUCCUGUACUUGGUGUUACUGCGAAGGGGGGACGGAGAAGGCUAUGUUGGCCGGGCGACGGUUGUCCCGGUUUAAGCGUGUAGGCUGGUUUUCCAGGCAAAUCCGGAAAAUCAAGGCUGAGGCGUGAUGACGAGGCACUACGGUGCUGAAGCAACAAAUGCCCUGCUUCCAGGAAAAGCCUCUAAGCAUCAGGUAACAUUAAAUCGUACCCCAAACCGACACAGGUGGUCAGGUAGAGAAUACCAAGGCGCUUGAGAGAACUCGGGUGAAGGAACUAGGCAAAAUGGUGCCGUAACUUCGGGAGAAGGCACGCUGAUAUGUAGGUGAAGUCCCUCGCGGAUGGAGCUGAAAUCAGUCGAAGAUACCAGCUGGCUGCAACUGUUUAUUAAAAACACAGCACUGUGCAAACACGAAAGUGGACGUAUACGGUGUGACGCCUGCCCGGUGCCGGA
rnacentral:rRNA from 1 species